GCUGGGUACAGCGGAGCAAACCUGUAAUCCCAGUGACUCAGGAGGCUGAGACAGGAGGAUCACAAGGUUGAGGCUAGCCUCAGCAACUUGGAGAGACCCUGUCUCAA
rnacentral:sRNA from 1 species